rnacentral:rRNA from 1 species
GACGAACGCUGGCGGCGUGCUUAACACAUGCAAGUCGAACGAUGAAGCCUUUCGGGGUGGAUUAGUGGCGAACGGGUGAGUAACACGUGGGCAAUCUGCCCUGUACUUUGGGAUAAGCCUUGGAAACGGGGUCUAAUACCGGAUAUCACUUACCUCCGCAUGGGGUUUGGUUGAAAGUUACUGGCGGUACAGGAUGAGCCCGCCGGCCUAUCAGCUUGUUGGUGGGGUAGGUGGCCUACCAAGGCGACGACGGGUAGCCGGCCUGAGAGGGUGACCGG